rnacentral:lncRNA from 1 species
CCCUCUGGACCAGACGCCGCCUGCACGGGUGGGGACGCUGGUCGCUGCCGGGGGCAAGUCUGCCGACUCCAGAAAGAAAGGCGAAAGAAUGUGUGUAGACCCGGGCAUCCUUGGUCGUCAGCAUGUUUGCUUUAUUUAAUUACAGAUGUUCAGGCUGCUGUCAACACCCGACAAUUUUUUUUGGUCAUUUCAUUCCCUAGAGAUUGUGAAGCUAAGUGCUGUGAGGGAAACCAGAGGCAGCUGAGAUGUCGUGGAAGUAACAGCGAAUGAAGCCAGGAUGCUGGAUUCUGACCUUGGAACUGUUCUGAGUAAAUCACUUUUCUCAGUAAA